rnacentral:sRNA from 1 species
UGGUCGAUGAGCACGUCCGCGCGUGACGU